ACGGGAGGCAGCAGUGGGGGAUAUUGCACAAUGGGGGGAAACCCUGACCUAGCGACGCCGCGUGAAGGAUGAAGGUUUUCGGAUUGUAAACUUCUUUUAAGAGGGACGAUAAUGACGGUACCUCUUGAAUAAGCCACGGCUAACUACGUGCCAGCAGCCGCGGUAAUACGUAGUUGGCAAGCGUUGUCCGGAUUUACUGGGUGUAAAGGGCGAGUAGGCGGGAUUACAUGUCAGAUGUGAAAUACCGAGGCUCAACUUCGGGGCUGCAUUUGAAACUGUAAUUCUUGAGUGAUGGAGAGGCAGGCGGAAUUCCCGGUGUAGCGGUGGAAUGCAUAGAGAUCGGGAGGAACACCAGUGGCGAAGGCGGCCUGCUGGACAUUAACUGACGCUGAGGAGCGAAAGUGUGGGGAGCAAACAGGAUUAGAUACCCUGGUA
rnacentral:rRNA from 1 species